rnacentral:rRNA from 1 species
UACGUAGGGUGCAAGCGUUGCCCGGAAUUAUUGGGCGUAAAGAGCUUGUAGGCGGUCUGUCGCGUCUGCUGUGAAAAUCCGGGGCUCAACCCCGGACUUGCAGUGGGUACGGGCAGACUAGAGUGUGGUAGGGGAGACUGGAAUUCCUGGUGUAGCGGUGAAAUGCGCAGAUAUCAGGAGGAACACCGAUGGCGAAGGCAGGUCUCUGGGCCACUACUGACGCUGAGAAGCGAAAGCAUGGGGAGCGAACAGG